CCCUUGAAGACGAUUCAAGUUAGCCUGGGGUACCCUCUCUGCUUUCCACUCCCCAACUGGGAUUAACUUUGGAAUCUUCUGUAGCUGUAGAGAAACUGGGGGCUCUCCAAUCCUAGCCUGGGUAAACACUACUUCAAGACAAAUCGGAAUGGCCUUGCACUGUAAAAGCAGGGAAGGCAGAUGGGAAAUAAGUCCACUCGUUUAGGUAGGAGAUAUUCUACAAUAUAGCCUUGUUCUUAGAACACAGCAGAAUGAGAGGUCUGGGAUUUUCCUCAGAAUUGCUAAAAGCAAUCUACAGAUGAAGAGAAACUGCUAAACGAUAAGCUGAUGGUCAUUGUUUCUCCCCCCUCCAAAAAAAAGAAAGAAAGGAAAAAAAAGACGCCUCAAGGUCAUUCCCCUGCUCCCCAGAAAACGCUCCCCGCAGAAUUAAAAUUCCUGAAACUCAAACCAUGCGAUCUGACCAGACGCCCCGAAGACGGUUCGUGGGAGACGAGGCUCAAGCUUUUGGCUCGAGGUGAGAUGUGGAAUCUUCUCUGGAUCUCAGACUCUUUCUCGACCAACAAUGCAUGUGUUUUAGAUGUUUGGCAAGGAGCUUGGUUUUCCCUGGGUGAUCGUGUACAGAAAGAGGGUGAUGACCUCCAGGAACCAAAGUCUUUGGCUCAGACAACAAGCACGUAUUGACAACUCUUUCUACACACCAGAGACGCUUCGGGAAUAUAACACAGUGUCCCAGCGCUCCUGGGGGCUGUCCACCUAGACACGAGGAAUAACUAAAAAGGCUAAGACAUCAUUAAAGUCACAGAUUCCACCAUCUAAAAAAAACCAUCCAAACAGGGUUUCGGGUAUAAACAUGUAUGAGAAAAACAGCUUCAACUUCUCCGUGUGGGUCGCUGCUCACCUGUUAAAUGUCCACGUCUUUCCUAUCUUUGAAAAUCCA